rnacentral:rRNA from 1 species
CCAGAGAACUUAGCAGAGAUGCUUGGUGCCUUCGGGAACUCUGAGACAGGUGCUGCAUGGCUGUCGUCAGCUCGUGUUGUGAAAUGUUGGGUUAAGUCCCGCAACGAGCGCAACCCUUAUCCUUUGUUGCCAGCGGUUCGGCCGGGAACUCAAAGGAGACUGCCGGUGAUAAACCGGAGGAAGGUGGGGAUGACGUCAAGUCAUCAUGGCCCUUACGGCCAGGGCUGCACACGUGCUACAAUGGCGCAUACAAAGAGAAGCGACCUCGCGAGAGCAAGCGGACCUCAUAAAGUGCGUCGUAGUCCGGAUUGGAGUCUGCAACUCGACUCCAUGAAGUCGGAAUCGCUAGUAAUCGUAGAUCAGAAUGCUACGGUGAAUACGUUCCCGGGCCUUGUACACACCGCCCGUCACACCAUGGGAGUGGGUUGCAAAAGAAGUAGGUAGCUUAACCUUCGGGAGGGCGCUUACCACUUUGUGAUUCAUGACUGGGGUGAAGUCGUAACAAGGUAGGCGUAGCGAG